rnacentral:rRNA from 1 species
UACGUAGGGUGCGAGCGUUAAUCGGAAUUACUGGGCGUAAAGCGUGCGCAGGCGGCGGCCCAAGUCAGGUGUGAAAUCCCCGGGCUUAACCUGGGAAUUGCGCUUGAAACUAGGUCGCUAGAGUGUGGCAGAGGGGGGUGGAAUUCCACGUGUAGCAGUGAAAUGCGUAGAGAUGUGGAGGAACACCGAUGGCGAAGGCAGCCCCCUGGGUCACACCUGACACUGAGACGCGACAGCAUGGGGAGCGAACGGG